GACUGCCGGUGGUGAAAUCAGUUCCUCUAAAUCACAGCCAGGACAUUGCUUAUUAACGAAGAACGAAGAACAGGGGGAGUUGCAUAGUAAGGAUCGU